rnacentral:misc_RNA from 1 species
ACUGACGAGGGCGAUUAUCAGGUGAAGUUGAAAAACCUGAUUCGUUUCCUCGAAGCGGGCGACAAGGGUAAGGUCACGCUACGUUUUCGAGGUCGUGAGAUGGCGCACCAGGACAUCGGCCGCAAGCUGAUGGAACGGAUUGCGGCUGACCUCGAAGACAUGGCGUCUGUCGAGUCCUUCCCCAAGAUGGAAGGCCGUCAGAUGAUCAUGAUCUUGGCGCCCAAAAAGAAGUGAUCCGUUGGCGGUUGAACGGGCAGUCGGUAUCGCCGGCUGCCGGCCCCGGGUUUUCUGAAGAAACCGAGUGGAGUUUUCCCUCAUGCCUA